ensembl:snRNA U5 U5 spliceosomal RNA
UCACUUGGGCCUCUCUUCAUCACGUACAAAUCUUUCACGUACAAGAUUUCCGUGGAGAGGGGCGUCAACAAGCUCACAGUAUUUUUGGGGGCUCUGUUUUGUUUCUACGGGGC